CCUGACAGCAGGACAAACACUGAUAAGCGUCCAACAACAAUAAACGGCGCAGGGACAGCAGGAGCCCAUCGACCCGGCCUCGCCCGUGCGGGGCCAGCUGGGACAUGUUCCGGGCACUGGCCAAGGCCAGAGCAGCCCUGGGGCCCCGAGAGGCGGGCCUGGUGCAGACCAUGGCACCCCACAGGCUGCCGGUGCCUCCCCCUGAGGCCCUGCGCAAGCCCCUCUCCAUCCCUGACCGACUCCUGCUGGGCCCAGGCCCCUCCAACCUGGCUCCUCGAGUACUGGAGGCCGGGGGGCUGCAGAUGAUCGGGCACAUGAGCAAGGAGAUGUUCCAGAUCAUGGAGGAGAUCAAGCAGGGCAUCCAGUACAUGUUCCAGACCAGGAACCCCAUCACGCUGGCUGUCAGCGGCUCAGGACACUGUGCCCUGGAGGUGGCCCUGUUCAACCUCCUGGAGCCCGGGGACUCCUUCCUGGUUGGCGUCAACGGCAUAUGGGGGCAGCGGGCUGUGGACAUCGGGGAGCGUCUCGGAGCCCGCGUGCACCCCAUGAUCAAGGAUCCAGGAGGUCACUACACCCUGCAGGAGGUGGAAGAGGGGCUGGCCCAGCACAAGCCAGUGCUGCUGUUCCUGACCCAUGGUGAGUCGUCCAGUGGUGUGAUGCAGCCCCUGGACGGCUACGGGGAUCUCUGCCACAGGUACCAGUGCCUGCUCCUGGUGGACUCUGUCGCAUCCCUGGGUGGGGCCCCCAUCUACAUGGACCAGCAAGGCAUUGACGUCUUGUACUCGGGCUCCCAGAAGAUCCUGAACAGCCCUCCAGGAACCGCCCUCAUCUCCUUCAGCGACAAGGCCAAGCAGAAGUUCGAUGCUCGGAAGACGAAACCCUUCUCCUUCCUCAUGGACCUCCAGUGGCUGGCCAACCUCUGGGGCUGUGACGGCAAGCCCAGGAUGUACCAUCACACCUUGCCUGUCAUUGGCUUGUACAGUCUGAGGGAGAGCCUGGCGCUCAUGGUGGAACGGGGCCUGGAGGAGAGCUGGCAGCUGCACCGUGAGGCCACUGCGUACCUGCACGGGCGCCUGCAGGAGCUGGGCCUGCAGCUCUUCGUGAGGGACCCGGCCAUCCGGCUGCCCACGGUCACCACUGUGGCGGUGCCUGCUGGCUACGACUGGAGAGACAUCGUCAGCUACAUCGUAGACCACUUCGGCAUCGAGAUCAUGGGCGGCCUCGGGCCCUCCGUGGGGAAGGUGCUGCGGAUUGGCCUGCUGGGCUGCAAUGCCACCCGGGAGAAUGUGGACAGGGUGACAGAGGCCCUGAGGGAGGCCCUUCAGCACUGCUCCCGGAACAAGCUGUGAUCCACACCCAGCUCACACCUCCCAGAGCGGCGGGCGUGGCAGGAGCCCACACACUGUGCAAGGUCACCAGGCCUGGGGACAGGACAGCUGCUGGCCCAGCUGGGAAAGGCAGGCAGGGGCCAGGAAGAGGGAACUCCUGGAAACAGGACUUUCGAAGGAGCUGCUGUGCCCACAGGCUGCCGACCUCGGGGAAUAUUCAAUAAAGCUCUGGGAAUUUCUGACCAGGCCAGUGGCCUGGCCCCUGGGAUGUGCACAGGACCGCCACAGCUGGGCCCCCGUCUCCAGGAAGAAGACUGGGCAGGGUUCCCUCUGGGUCCAUGGCACACAGCAGAGACGGCACAGUGAGCACAGCCUGACAGCUCUGUCCCUGUCUCGGAGCUGGAGGCCCUGAGCAGACAGGCGCUGCUGGCCCCCGUGCUCACAGGACCCUAAGAGACGGGCCUGAGGGCCACACAGACAGCACAGCCACGAUCCAGGACAGAUGCGGAGCCUGGGAGCCCAGUGAGGUCCGGGGAGGCGCCAGGAGGCACAGGGCUGUGUGGCCACGUCGUGACUGUGGCUUUGUCCAGCCUUGCUUUGGUCUCCCAGAAGCAGCCAGUGAGAGCAGAAUUCACACUCGAGCAGUUAGUUUGGACCCAGGAGUCGCCCAGGGGAAGGUCCCCUCUGCCUGGCCCAGCCAGCGCACACUCAGGUCAGACCUCUAGCGCCAGAUCCUUCUGCAGGCGGCUACGUUUCAGAGGGGUGGACACACGCCUGAGCCCGUCCCUGGGCACCCAGGACCUUCAUUCACACUGUCACCGUGGGUCGCUCGUGGUUGAGUGGAUUCCGUCGGCAGCACGUCACUGUGGCUCCUUCUCCGCUGUUGGCCGUCCGGGCUGCCCCUAGGUUGGAGCUGCGAGGAGCAGGCUCUGCGGGCUCUGCAAUCCAUUUUCCUCAAGUGAACAAUGAGGACCCAGGUUCCGGGCUGUGGGUGGCAGGACCCCAGGACAGUGCACAGAGAGCUGCCAGCUCUGCUCCCGCCCUCCUGAAAUUGAGUCUGGCUGGCUGAACUUGCAGGUCCUGGUGGCUGGUCCGUCCAGCAUCUUCUCUGAGAAGUCUCACGGGGACACCCGCCCACACUGGGUAACUGCUGCCCUCCUGGCUGGCUUGUGGUGGUUCUCGGCUACAUUCCAGCUGUUGCCAGAGAGCUGCGUUCUGAGCCUCUCCUCCGCUCCUAAUGGCAUCUCCAAAAGUUGGAGCUUUUAUUUUGGGAAGAGCUAUUUAUGGCUGUUUUCUCUCAGGUCGAGAAGUGUUUCCUACGUGAGGUUGAGUGAAACCUCCAUCCUCCUCCUCGGGCAGCUCUGGGUGCAGAUCCGACCUGCCCAGUCCUGCGCGGGUGGAGGGACCAGAGCGCAUGCUCAUCCAGAGCACACUGUCAGUGUCCUAGCCACGUCCACUGAACAGACCGCAGACCCGGGGAUUCCCAUCCUAGAUCCGUUCAACUGCCGUGGGAAAUUUGGAAUUGUCUUGUCUGUUUCUUGUUUCUUGUCUGUUUCUGCUCCCUGGAGUUUUGAUUGGAACUGCAUCCAAUCUAUGUAUCAAGUUAAAGAUGGCAGAAACCAUCAAAAUAUCACAAAUUCCAGUCCA